GAUUUCUGAUAUAAUAUUACUGUCCCGCUGUGGUUACACAUGUGAGUGACGGAUAAUAUUUAUCUGUUUUGUAUUUUGUUUGAUAGUGUGAAAGCAUUAUCAAAACAUAUACAUCUUUUACUUUGAACAAAUUAGAGUGUUUCAAGCAGGCAUUUAUGCCUUGAAUACAUGAGCAUGGAAUAAUCAUCGAGGACUUUUAGUUCUAUGUUGAUUGGUUCUAGAACUAUAGUAAUGAUGGAUAGGGAUAGUUGGGGGUGCUAGUAUUCCGAGGCCAGAGGUGAAAUUCUUGGAUUCUCGGAAGACUCACUUAGGCGAAAGCAUUCACCAAGGAUGUCUUCAUUAAUCAAGAACGAAAGUUGGGGGAUCGAAGACGAUCAGAUACCGUCGUAGUCUCAACCAUAAACUAUGCCGACUAGGGAUGUGACAAUGUUGAAUUUUCGACUUGUUACGCACCUCAUGAGAAAUCAAAGUCUUUGGGUUCAUGGGGAAGUAUGGUGGCAAGGCUGAAACUUAAAGG
rnacentral:rRNA from 1 species